CAGUCGCCGCGGUAAUACGUAGGGUGCGAGCGUUAAUCGGAAUUACUGGGCGUAAAGCGUGCGCAGGCGGUUCGUUAAGACAGAUGUGAAAUCCCCGGGCUUAACCUGGGAACUGCAUUUGUGACUGGCAAGCUAGAGUAUGGCAGAGGGGGGUGGAAUUCCGCGUGUAGCAGUGAAAUGCGUAGAUAUGCGGAGGAACACCGAUGGCGGAGGCAGCCCCCUGGGCCAAUACUGACGCUCAUGCACGAAAGCGUGGGGAGCAAACAGGAUUAGAGACCCGAGUAGUCCCUGUCUCUUAUAC
rnacentral:rRNA from 1 species